rnacentral:rRNA from 1 species
CGGUGACCGCAGCGUAUACAUGCAGUCGAGCGAAUGGAUUAAGAGCUUGCUCUUAUGAAGUUAGCGGCGGACGGGUGAGUAACACGUGGGUAACCUGCCCAUAAGACUGGGAUAACUCCGGGAAACCGGGGCUAAUACCGGAUAACAUUUUGAACCGCAUGGUUCGAAAUUGAAAGGCGGCUUCGGCUGUCACUUAUGGAUGGACCCGCGUCGCAUUAGCUAGUUGGUGAGGUAACGGCUCACCAAGGCAACGAUGCGUAGCCGACCUGAGAGGGUGAUCAACUACACUGGGACUGAGACACGGCCCAGACUCAUACGGGAGGCAGCAGUAGGGAAUCUUCCGCAAUGGACGAAAGUCUGACGGAGCAACGCCGCGUGAGUGAUGAAGGUUUUCGGGUCGUAACACCUCUGAUGUGAGGAAAGAAACAGUGCACUGUUGUAUAAUUUGCCACCUUCGACGACACAUCACCUGCUUU